CCUACGGGAGGCAGCAGUGGGGGAUAUUGCACAAUGGGGGAAACCCUGAUGCAGCGACGCCGCGUGGGCGAAGAAGUAUUUCGGUAUGUAAAGCCCUAUCAGCAGGGAAGAAGAAAUGACGGUACCUGAGUAAGAAGCACCGGCUAAAUACGUGCCAGCAGCCGCGGUAAUACGUAUGGUGCAAGCGUUAUCCGGAUUUACUGGGUGUAAAGGGAGCGCAGGCGGCACGGCAAGCCUGAUGUGAAAGCCCGCGGCCCAACCGCGGGACUGCAUUGGGAACUACCGGGCUGGAGUGCCGGAGAGGUAGGCGAAAUUCCUAGGGUAGCGGUGAAAUGCGUAGAUAUUAGGAGGACCACCAGUGGCGAGGGCGGCCUACUGGACGGUGACUGACGCUGAGGCUCGAAAGCGGGGGGAGCAAACAGGAUUAGAUACCCCGUUAGU
rnacentral:rRNA from 1 species